rnacentral:rRNA from 1 species
UACGUAGGGUGCGAGCGUUAAUCGGAAUUACUGGGCGUAAAGCGUGCGCAGGCGGUUCGUUGUGUCGGCGGUGAAAGCCCCGGGCUUAACCUGGGAAUGGCCAUGGAAACUGGCGAGCUGGAGUGUGGCAGAGGGGGGUGGAAUUCCGCGUGUAGCAGUGAAAUGCGUAGAGAUGCGGAGGAACACCGAUGGCGAAGGCAGCCCCCUGGGUUGACACUGACGCUCAGGCACGAAAGCGUGGGGAGCAAACAGG